rnacentral:rRNA from 1 species
UACGUAGGGUGCAAGCGUUGUCCGGAAUUAUUGGGCGUAAAGAGCUCGUAGGCGGUUUGUCGCGUCUGCUGUGAAAACUGGAGGCUCAACCUCCAGCCUGCAGUGGGUACGGGCAGACUAGAGUGCGGUAGGGGAGAUUGGAAUUCCUGGUGUAGCGGUGGAAUGCGCAGAUAUCAGGAGGAACACCGAUGGCGAAGGCAGAUCUCUGGGCCGUAACUGGACGCUGAGGAGCGAAAGCGUGGGGAGCGAACAGGA